rnacentral:rRNA from 1 species
AACGAACGCUGGCGGCAGGCCUAACACAUGCAAGUCGAACGCCGUAGCAAUACGGAGUGGCAGACGGGUGAGUAACGCGUGGGAACAUACCCCUCGGUUCGGAAUAACUCAGGGAAACUUGAGCUAAUACCGGAUACGUCCGAGGUUUUAAUCGACCUUGGAGAAAGAUUUAUCGCCGGAGGAUUGGCCCGCGUCUGAUUAGCUUGUUGGUGAGGUAAUGGCUCACCAAGGCGACGAUCAGUAGCUGGUCUGAGAGGAUGAUCAGGCCACAUUGGGACUGAGACACGGCCCAAACUCCUACGGGAGGCAGCAGUGGGGAAUAUUGGACAAUGGGCGAAAGCCUGAUCCAGCCAUGCCGCGUGAGUGAU